GAUGAACGCUAGCGGCAGGCCUAACACAUGCAAGUCGAGGGAGAAGCCCUUCGGGGCAGAAACCGGCGCACGGGUGCGUAACGCGUAUGCAACCUACCUUUCACAGGGGGAUAGCCCGAAGAAAUUUGGAUUAAUACCCCAUAAUAUUAUUGAAUGGCAUCAUUUGAUAAUUAAAAUUACGAUGGUGAAAGAUGGGCAUGCGUCCUAUUAGCUAGUUGGAGUGGUAACGGCACCCCAAGGCUACGAUAGGUAGGGGUCCUGAGAGGGAGAUCCCCCACACUGGUACUGAGACAGGGACCAGACUCCUACGGGAGGCAGCAGUGAGGAAUAUUGGUCAAUGGUCGGAAGACUGAACCAGCCAUGCCGCGUGCAGGGAAGAAUGCCCUUAUGGGUUGUAAAACUGCUUUUAUAUGGGAAG
rnacentral:rRNA from 1 species